ACUCUUUCAUUCAGCUUCUACUGACACCCACUAUCUCAGACAUAGUGGCUCAAAGAUACAUGAGUUCUGGCCUUAAGCAUCUGACAUCCCAUAUGAACUUCCUCUCAAACUUUAAACCGGGAGAAGGAUCCUGUAACAUCUGUAGAGUCUUAACCUCCUUUUCAGAGUUCAUGAGGUGAUGGAUGAUAGACACUGUAUGCAAGAAGACCUGCUUAACCCUGCCCCUUCUCUGCCAGGGAGCGCUCUCUCUGGGGCUUCCCCAAACCCUACUUCCUCUGGCGCCUUUGGCAGACUAGAAGGGCUGUGGUCUGUGCUGCUCGGCUCUGCUCUGCAGUGUAUGAGCCCUUGUUAGGACUGGUGGUGCCAGGAAGGAGCUGCAUUAACGGGAGCGUUUGGGGAAAAAGACAAAAACACUAAUCACCACCCGAAAUGUACACGCUAUUUCCCAUCUGGUGUGCGGAAUUGGAUCGUCUCGGGAGUCUCGGGGAAAAUGCGGCAGAUGGGCUGGGCUUGGAGCUCCUCUCCCCACAGGCAGUGGGGAAAAGAGGAAGUGGCUUGGCACACGAAGCUGGCUUGAGCGAGGGAUGGUGGGCCCCACCGGGUACCCAUCAACCACGGCCUGAGGAAGCUGCCCACCUUCUGAUGCCUGAUGCCUGCAGCAGCUGUGCCGCUUGCCCUGUGGAUUUGGAUCCAAUCUGGGAAGCAGUGUUGCAAGCUCUGGGGUUACUGAAUCUCUGCUUAGUCUGCAGUGGUGCUGGGAAAAGAUUCACCGGCAUCAAACACCUGCUGGUGUGCUUUUCUAGUUGUGCUCUCCGGACUGGGUGGGAGGUGGGGAUAGGGAUGUCAUUCUCCGAGGGUCAUUUGUGUUGUCUGUCAGUCCCUAAGAGGUUCUGAUGAGGCCAAUGAGAAGCCAUCUCUGCCUGUAGGUCACUACCUGCCUCUGACACCCUGAUCAGGACAUUUGGGGGUUCUCGAUAGAGGACAGGGCCUAAUGAUACUUUUUCACAGGAAGAAGACUCACCCUAGAGCUCUUGGCCUGCCAGGACAAGUGAAGAGAUCCUCUAGCAUCCCCAUGCUGUGCCACUAUAUUGGACUUGUGUGUCACAGUCCUAUGAGUGGGUGAGUCAGGAUAGGUUCAUUGGCAGCAAGCAAGAGGCUGGACCUGUUUCUGGAAGUAGAAGGAGAGAAACUGAGAGGGAAUAAGCAGGUGGAAAGCAAUGUUUCUGACAGGAAAGACUCCAAAGA